AAAAAGAUAAGCUAAAAUUUUAAGCUAUUGGGCUCAUACCUCAAUUAUAAAGGUAAAAAUCCUUUUCUUUUUA
rnacentral:tRNA from 1 species